rnacentral:rRNA from 1 species
CCUACGGGGGGCUGCAGUGGGGAAUAUUGGACAAUGGGGGCAACCCUGAUCCAGCCAUGCCGCGUGUGUGAAGAAGGCCCUCGGGUUGUAAAGCACUUUCAGUGAGGAAGAACGCCUGGUGGUUAAUACCCAUCAGGAAAGACAUCACUCACAGAAGAAGCACCGGCUAACUCCGUGCCAGUAGCCGCGGUAAUACGGAGGGUGCGAGCGUUAAUCGGAAUUACUGGGCGUAAAGCGCGCGUAGGUGGCUUGAUAAGCCGGUUGUGAAAGCCCCGGGCUCAACCUGGGAACGGCAUCCGGAACUGUCAAGCUAGAGUGCAGGAGAGGAAGGUAGAAUUCCCGGUGUAGCGGUGAAAUGCGUAGAGAUCGGGAGGAAUACCAGUGGCGAAGGCGGCCUUCUGGACUGACACUGACACUGAGGUGCGAAAGCGUGGGUAGCAAACAGGAUUAGAUACCCGUGUAGUC